AUUGAACGCUGGCGGCAUGCCUUACACAUGCAAGUCGAACGGCAGCACGGGGCAACCUGGUGGCGAGUGGCGAACGGGUGAGUAAUGCAUCGGAACGUACCUUUCAGUGGGGGAUAACGUAGCGAAAGUUACGCUAAUACCGCAUAUUCUGUGAGCAGGAAAGCAGGGGAUCGCAAGACCUUGCGCUGAUUGAGCGGCCGAUGUCAGAUUAGCUAGUUGGUGAAGUAAAGGCUCACCAAGGGGACGAUCUGUAGCGGGUCUGAGAGGAUGAUCCGCCACACUAGAACUGAGAGACGGUCCAGACUCCUACGGAAGGCAGCAGUGGGGAAUUUUGGACAAUGGGGGCAACCCUGAUCCAGCCAUGCCGCGUGAGUGAAGAAGGCCUUCGGGUCGUAAAGCUCGUUCGGCCGGGAAGAAAUCGCACGGGCUAAUACCCUGUGUGGAUGACGGUACCGGAAUAAGAAGCACCGGCUAACUACGUGCCAGCCGCCGCCGUAAAAC
rnacentral:rRNA from 1 species